rnacentral:rRNA from 1 species
UGGGGAAUAUUGGACAAUGGGCGAAAGCCUGAUCCAGCAAUGCCGCGUGAGUGAUGAAGGCCUUAGGGUUGUAAAGCUCUUUUACCAGGGAUGAUAAUGACAGUACCUGGAGAAUAAGCUCCGGCUAACUCCGUGCCAGCAGCCGCGGUAAUACGGAGGGAGCUAGCGUUGUUCGGAAUUACUGGGCGUAAAGCGCGCGUAGGCGGUUUUUUAAGUCAGAGGUGAAAGCCCAGUGCUCAACACUGGAACUGCCUUUGAAACUGGAAAACUUGAAUCUUGGAGAGGUCAGUGGAAUUCCGAGUGUAGAGGUGAAAUUCGUAGAUAUUCGGAAGAACACCAGUGGCGAAGGCGACUGACUGGACAAGUAUUGACGCUGAGGUGCGAAAGCGUGGGGAGCAAACAGG